UUGACUUUUGUUUUAAUAAAAAAUAAAUCUGUUCUUAGUUUAAUAUCUGAUACGUCCCCUAUCUGGGGAAUAUAUAUGAAAUGGAUUUUUGGAACAGGAAGAUGGAAGUCGAGCUUGCUCUGUCCACUCCAACACUGGAAGAAGCCUGGCCUUCUCUGGAGGUGGCACCAA
rnacentral:snRNA from 1 species